rnacentral:tRNA from 1 species
GCCCUGGGGGCACAACAGUUAAGCAUUUGGCUGCUAACCAAAAGGUUGGCGGUUCAAACCCACCCAGAGGCU